rnacentral:rRNA from 1 species
AGUGGAUGGGGAGCAACCUAGUUGUGCGUGUGUAAAGGUAGUGCCAAGAAAAGCGAUGAUCAUGUUGAAAAUCAAUUCCCGGUACCCGAAACCGACACAGGUGGGCAAGUAGAGAAUACUAAGGGGCGCGAGGUAACUCUCUCCAAGGAACUCGGCAAAAUGACCCCGUAGCUUAGGGAGAAGGGGUGCCACCGAGAGGUGGUCGCAGUGAAGAGGCCCAGGCGACUGUUUAGCAAAAACAUAGGUCUCUGCAAACUCGAAAGAGGAGGUAUAGGGGCUGACGCCUGCCCAGUGCCGGAAGGUUAAAGAAGUUGGUCAGUUUUAGGAUGAAGCUAGCGACUGAAGCCCCGGUGAACGGCGGCCGUAACUAUAACGGUCCUAAGGUAGCGAAAUUCCUUGUCGGGUAAGUUCCGACCCGCACGAAAGGCGUAACGAUCUGGGCGCUGUCUCGGAGAGAGGCUCGGCGAAAUAGGAUUGUCUGUGAAGAUACGGACUACCUGCAUUUGGACAGAAAGACCCUAUGAAGCUUUACUAUAGCUUGGAAUUGUGUUCGGGCUUCCUGUGCGCAGGAUAGGUGGGAGGCGUAGAAGGUAUUCUUGUGGGGAUACUGGAGCCAACGGUGAGAUACCACUCUCAGGAGGCUAGAAUUCUAACUUAAUUAAGGACAGUUUCAGGUGGGUAGUUUGACUGGGGCGGUCGCCUCCAAAAAGGUAACGGAGGCGUACAAAGGUUCCCUCAGACUGGUUGGAAAUCAGUCUAAGAGUGCAAAGGCAGAAGGGAGCUUGACUGCGAGAAGUACAGUUCGAGCAGGGUGGAAACACGGUCUUAGUGAUCCGACGGUGCUGUGUGGAAGGGCCGUCGCUCAACGGAUAAAAGUUACUCUAGGAUAACAGGCUGAUCUCCCCCAAGAGUUCACAUCGACGGGGAGGUUUGGCACCUCGAUGUCGGCUCAUCGCAACCUGGGGCGGAAGUACGUCCCAAGGGUUGGGCUGUUCGCCCAUUAAAGCGGUACGUGAGCUGGGUUCAGAACGUCGUGAGACAGUUCGGUCCAUAUCCGAUGUAGGCGUGAGAAUAUUGAGAGGAGCCUUCCUUAGUACGAGAGGACCGGGAAGGACGCACCGCUGGUGUACCUGUUAUGAUGCCAAUUGUAAACGCAGGGUAGCCAAGUGCGGAGAGGAUAACCGCUGAAAGCAUCUAAGUGGGAAGCCCACCUCAAGAUGAGUAUUCUGGUGUAAGGUCACGGGAAGACGACCCGUAAAUAGGCACGAGGUGGAAGUGCAGAGAUGUAUGAAGCCGAAGUGUACUAAUAGACCGUCGGC